rnacentral:lncRNA from 1 species
CUGAAAUCCAGAUCGGGAACACCGAGCAACACUUAGUGCAUAAAUAUGAAUACACAUGGUUCAAGGAAAAAUAAAACUUCAUCAUGUUGGAAGUACACUUGGAAAGCUGGUUGUUAAAUAUUUGUAAAUACUGCAGGAUGGGCGGGUCGAAAAGAUAAUUAAGAAGAACCUCAGUAGCUGGAAGAACACACAGAACUUUCUAGUCGUCCUUACCUGAACAACUAUGGGAGAAAUAAACUCCUAGACUACUUGGAUCAAA